AAACAAUGGCACAAAAUGGCGGACAUCGAAACAAUUGACACGCGAAACCGCGAUGUGAAUAGCUCCUAUUACAAACUCUACCUAAAAAACUACGCAUUUUUUCAAUCGCUAUAAUGUUCACCAUGAUACACCAUGUCCUGCUUACGAAUACAUAAUUUUGGAAGAUAACGAAGUGUCGGUUGACUAUGAUUAUAAUGACAAAAGUUCUGAUCAUUAUUCUGAUUCAAGUACCUCUAAAGAAAACAUCUCCGUUGCAGAACUGGACACUGAAUCUAACAUUGAAAGUAUCGAAGGUAAACAGAAGUUGUAUAAUACCUUAAAAAAAUAACCGAUGACGAAGUGUUGGUUGACAUAAAUAACUUUAUUCCCUGACUUUCUCUCGUUUGAUUUAAAAAAAAUAAAAAAAAUAAAGAAAUAAAAAAGUAGAUAAAACAGCCGAAUCUGAUAACGAUGAUUUAAAAAUAAUUUCUCUGAGUCAUGCAGCACGUCUGAUUUGGAGUGGGAUUUCAUGUGUGACUUUACCAAGAUGCGAAUCCGACCACUUCAUAUGGAGCCCAUAUUAUGAGCAACACAAUGUAGUAAGUAAGUAACAAUUUCAAAGAAAUUUCGAGUAUAAAAAUGAAAUUACUUAAAGGUUCUGAUAACAAGAAUAAAGGGAUGAAGAUGUUCACGAAUAUGAAGAGUGCAAAUUGUCAACAUACAGUCUGAAGAUAGUAGAUUGAAUAUUUCAAUUUUACAUACCUGAACUUUUCUAUUUGCAGAGCAUAAAUUUGAACCUUUGGUUUGUUAUUUGUAGUAGAUACUUCUGAUCCUUCGGAACAUCGAAAGGAGUUGAAUGAUGCUGAUGAUAUUGAAGAAUUUUAGGGUAUGAACAUUAAACCUAAGUAAAACAGUUAAAAAUAUUGCAAUCAGCAAAAUAAUUUUCAGGGAGUGAUGGAGACAACGAAGAAGAUGAAAAUGAAGUGAAGAAACGAAAGAAAUCAUAACAGAGAAUGAAAGAUAAGAAAAGAAUGAGAAAGAUGGAAAAGGAAUGAUCAGUAGCAGUAGAUGCAGACAACAAUUUGGGCGACCUUUCGGAUUGAUUUUCGUCAUGUAACUCGUCUGAUUCUUACUCAGACUGGGGCUCGGACUGGGAUGUUUAAACAAAAGAAAAAAGCUAUGCUUUUCUCUCGAGAGAUAUCCCCAACCCAUAUUGAAAUGGUUUAACUUAAGAUAUCCUACAGGGGUUUGGGUUCUCAUUGGAACCUCCGAAUCUUGGAAUCGACAAAAUAUUCCAGUACACCGACAAGAAAGUGUUGGGUAUCCUUCGGAAUCCACAGACGGGCGAGUUCUCCUUCAGUCCAGAUUGCAUCAUAAGCGAGACAUCAAGGACGGGUUGACAAAACGUCUGUCAUUUUAGCGUGGCACUAACUACGUACGGCCCAUUGGUUCUCAUGAUCAUGAACCUAACAAUGCUAAAAGGAAAACAAUCCAUGAAAACCAAUGGUUAGACGAUACCAAAUUGGACCAGCUCGUGAAAUCAGAAUUGAUCGAGAUUUAGGAGAAAUUCAUUUCCGAACUCAUCUCUACCAGAUAAAAAUUCCCCGAUGGACGCAGAUAGACAAAAAGAAGACUAGCAAACUUUACAUUUUCUGUGAUGCCAGCGAAACUGCCUAUGGAACGGUCGCUUAUGAAAGCAAGAAGGCCCUAUAAUCGCUCUAGUCACCGUUUAAAGUAACCCAUAACGGAGAAGUAAGUAAGUGACUAAGUAAGUUUGGAGUUGAUGACAAAGACUUUGGAGAAGAUACUAAACAUGUUAAGACAGAAAACUCACUUCAAACCCUAAAAAUUUCAAAAAGACGGAGAAAAAUGGGAAAAAAGCUGGGCCUCAGG